rnacentral:rRNA from 1 species
AUUGAACGCUGGCGGCAUGCCUAAUACAUGCAAGUCGAGCGAACAGAUGAGAAGCUUGCUUCUCUGAUGUUAGCGGCGGACGGGUGAGUAACACGUGGGUAACCUACCUAUAAGACUGGGAUAACUCCGGGAAACCGGGGCUAAUACCGGAUAAUAUUUUGAACCGCAUGGUUCAAUAGUGAAAGGCGGUUUCGGCUGUCACUUAUCGAUGGACCCGCGCCGUAUUAGCUAGUUGGUAAGGUAACGGCUUACCAAGGCGACGAUACGUAGCCGACCUGAGAGGGUGAUCGGCCACACUGGAACUGAGACACGGUCCAGACUCCUACGGGAGGCAGCAGUAGGGAAUCUUCCGCAAUGGGCGAAAGCCUGACGGAGCAACGCCGCGUGAGUGAUGAAGGUCUUCGGAUCGUAAAACUCUGUUGUUAGGGAAGAACAAAUUUGUUAGUAACUGAACAAGUCUUGACGGUACCUAACCAGAAAGCCACGGCUAACUACGUGCCAGCCGCCGCGGUAA